rnacentral:rRNA from 1 species
CCUAAGGUAGCGAAAUUCCUUGUCGGGUAAGUUCCGACCUGCACGAAUGGCGUAACGAUCUCCACACUGUCUCGGCCAGAGACUCGGUGAAAUUGCAGUCGCGGUGAAAAUUCCGUGUACCCGCAGAAAGACGGAAAGACCCUGUGCACCUUUACUAUAGCUUGACAUUGGAUUUUGGGCCUGCAUGUGUAGGAUAGGUGGGAGGCUGUGAACCCUGUACGCCAGUAUGGGGGGAGCCAUCCUUGAAAUACCACCCUUGCAUGUUUAAGAUCCUAACUUCUUCCGGUUAUCCCGGAGAAAGACAGUGUCUGGCGGGUAGUUUGACUGGGGCGGUCGCCUCCUAAAGUGUAACGGAGGCAUGCAAAGGUUCCCUCAGCCUGAUCGGAAACCAGGCGCUGAGUGCAAACGCAUAAGGGAGCUUGACUGCAAGAGAGACAUCUCGAACAGAUACGAAAGUAGGUGCUAGUGAUCCGGUGGUCCCGAAUGGAAGGGCCAUCGCUCAUUGGAUAAAAGGUACGCCGGGGAUAACAGGCUGAUCGCAUCCAAGAGUUCACAUCGACGAUGCGGUUUGGCACCUCGAUGUCGGCUCAUCACAUCCUGGGGCUGAAGCAGGUCCCAAGGGUACGGCUGUUCGCCGUUUAAAGUGGUACGCGAGCUGGGUUUAAAACGUCGUGAGACAGUUUGGUCCCUAUCUUCUGUGGGCGAAGGAGAAUUGAGAGGGCCUGUCCCUAGUACGAGAGGACCGGGAUGGACGCACCCCUGGUGAUCCUGUUGUCGCGCCAGCGGCAUAGCAGGGUAGCUAUGUGCGGAAGGGAUAACCGCUGAAAGCAUCUAAGCGGGAAACUUGCCUGAAGAUGAGUCUUCCCGGAGGUUGAACCUCCCUCAAGAGUCGUCCGAGACCAGGACGUCGAUAGGUCAGGUGUGUAAGCGCUGCGAGGCGUUGAGCUAACUGAUACUAAUUGCUCGUGAGGCUUGAUCCU